rnacentral:rRNA from 1 species
GUAAAGAGUCAUGGAGGUAGAGCACUGUUUGGACUAGGGGCCCUUCUCGGGUUACCGAAUUCAGAUAAACUCCGAAUGCCAUGUACUUAUACUCGGGAGUCAGACUGCGAGUGAUAAGAUCCGUAGUCGAAAGGGAAACAGCCCAGACCACCAGUUAAGGUCCCCAAAUAUAUGUUAAGUGGAAAAGGAUGUGGGGUUGCUUAGACAACCAGGAUGUUGGCUUAGAAGCAGCCACCAUUGAAAGAGUGCGUAAUAGCUCACUGGUCGAGUGACCCCGCGCCGAAAAUGUACCGGGGCUAAACAUAUUACCGAAACUGUGGAUGAACCUCUUUAGAGGUUCGUGGUAGGAGAGCGUUCUAAGGGCGGUGAAGUCAGACCGGAAGGACUGGUGGAGCGCUUAGAAGUGAGAAUGCCGGUAUGAGUAGCGAAAGAAGGGUGAGAAUCCCUUCCACCGAAUAUCUAAGGUUUCCUGAGGAAGGCUCGUCCGCUCAGGGUUAGUCGGGACCUAAGCCGAGGCCGAUAGGCGUAGGCGAUGGACAACAGGUAGAGAUUCCUGUACCAGUGCUAAUUGUUUAACCGAUGGGGUGACACAGAAGGAUAGGGAAUCGCACGAAUGGAAAUGUGCGUCCAAGCAGUGAGUGUGAGAAGUAGGCAAAUCCGCUUCUCGCGAAGCAUGAGCUGUGAUGGGGAAGGAAAUUAAGUACGGAAGUUCCUGAUUUCACGCUGUCAAGAAAAGCCUCUAGGAAGAGUAGUACUGCCCGUACCGCAAACCGACACAGGUAGAUGAGGAGAGAAUCCUAAGGUGAGCGAGAGAACUCUCGUUAAGGAACUCGGCAAAAUGACCCCGUAACUUCGGGAGAAGGGGUGCUCUAUUAGGGUGCAAGCCCGAGAGAGCCGCAGUGAAUAGGCCCAGGCGACUGUUUAGCAAAAACACAGGUCUCUGCAAAACCGUAAGGUGACGUAUAGGGGCUGACGCCUGCCCGGUGCUGGAAGGUUAAGAGGAGUGCUUAGCUUCGGCGAAGGUACGAAUUGAAGCCCCAGUAAACGGCGGCCGUAACUAUAACGGUCCUAAGGUAGCGAAAUUCCUUGUCGGGUAAGUUCCGACCCGCACGAAAGGCGCAACGAUCUGGGCACUGUCUCAACGAGAGACUCGGUGAAAUUAUAGUACCUGUGAAGA